GACGAACGCUGGCGGCGUGCUUAACACAUGCAAGUCGAACGGAAAGGCCCUGCUUUUGUGGGGUGCUCGAGUGGCGAACGGGUGAGUAACACGUGAGUAACCUGCCCUUGACUUUGGGAUAACUUCAGGAAACUGGGGCUAAUACCGGAUAGGAGCUCCUGCUGCAUGGUGGGGGUUGGAAAGUUUCGGCGGUUGGGGAUGGACUCGCGGCUUAUCAGCUUGUUGGUGGGGUAGUGGCUUACCAAGGCUUUGACGGGUAGCCGGCCUGAGAGGGUGACCGGCCACAUUGGGACUGAGAUACGGCCCAGACUCCUACGGGAGGCAGCAGUGGGGAAUAUUGCACAAUGGGCGGAAGCCUGAUGCAGCAACGCCGCGUGCGGGAUGACGGCCUUCGGGUAGUAAACCGCUUUCGCCUGUGACGAAGCGUGAGUGACGGAAAUGGGUAAAGAAGCACCGGCUAACUACGU
rnacentral:rRNA from 1 species